UAGAGUUUGAUUAUGGCUCAAGAUGAACGCUAGCUACAGGCUUAACACAUGCAAGUUCCGGGGCAGCAUGGGGGUUGCUUGCAACCCCUGAUGGCGACCGGCGCACGGGUGAGUAACGCGUAUCCAACCUGCCCUUCACCACGGGAUAACCCGGCGAAAGUCGGACUAAUACCGUAUGUUGUCCAUUGACGGCAUCCGAUUUGGACGAAAGGCUUAGCGGUGAGGGAUGGGGAUGCGUCCGAUUAGCUUGACGGCGGGGUAACGGCCCACCGUGGCAACGAUCGGUAGGGGUUCUGAGAGGAAGGUCCCCCACACUGGAACUGAGACACGGUCCAGACUCCUACGGGAGGCAGCAGUGAGGAAUAUUGGUCAAUGGGCGGAAGCCUGAACCAGCCAAGUAGCGUGCAGGAUGACGGCCCUAUGGGUUGUAAACUGCUUUUAUGCGGGGAUAAAGGGGCCCACGUGUGGGCUUUUGCAGGUACCGCAUGAAUAAGGACCGGCUAAUUCCGUGCCAGCAGCCGCGGUAAUACGGAAGGUUCGGGCGUUAUCCGGAUUUAUUGGGUUUAAAGGGAGCGUAGGCCGCCCCUUAAGCGUGUUGUGAAAUGCGGGUGCUCAACAUCCGACUUGCAGCGCGAACUGGGGGGCUUGAGUGCGCCGAAAGUAGGCGGAAUUCGUGGUGUAGCGGUGAAAUGCUUAGAUAUCACGAAGAACUCCGAUUGCGAAGGCAGCUUACUGUAGCGCAACUGACGCUGAUGCUCGAAAGCGUGGGUAUCGAACAGGAUUAGAUACCCUGGUAGUCCACGCGGUAAACGAUGGAUGCUCGUUGUCGGCCUUUGUGGUCGGUGACCAAGCGAAAGCGUUAAGCAUCCCACCUGGGGAGUACGCCGGCAAGGUUAAAACUCAAAUGAAUUGACGGGGGCCCGCACAAGCGGUGGAGCAUGUGGUUUAAUUCGAUGCAACGCGAAGAACCUUACCUACUCUUGACAUCCAUGGAAUCUUGUAGAGAUAUGAGAGUGCCUUCGGGAACCAUGAGACAGGUGCUGCAUGGCUGUCGUCAGCUCGUGUUGUGAAAUGUUGGGUUAAGUCCCGCAACGAGCGCAACCCUUAUCCUUUGUUGCCAGCGAUUUGGUCGGGAACUCAAAGGAGACUGCCGGUGAUAAACCGGAGGAAGGUGGGGAUGACGUCAAGUCAUCAUGGCCCUUACGAGUAGGGCUACACACGUGCUACAAUGGCGUAUACAGAGGGCGACGAAAGCCGCGAGGCGGAGUGAAUCUCACAAAGUACGUCUAAGUCCGGAUUGGAGUCUGCAAACUCGACUCCAAUGAAAGUUCGGAAUCGCUAGUAAUCGCGAAAUCAGAAAUGUCGCGGUGAAUACGUUCCCGGGCCCUUGCAACACACCGCCCG
rnacentral:rRNA from 1 species